GACGAACGCUGGCGGCGUGCUUAACACAUGCAAGUCGAACGGUAAGGCCCUUCGGGGUACACGAGUGGCGAACGGGUGAGUAACACGUGGGUGAUCUGCCCUGCACUUCGGGAUAAGCCUGGGAAACUGGGUCUAAUACCGGAUAGGACCACUGCCUGCAUGGGUGGUGGUGGAAAGCUUUUGCGGUGUGGGAUGGGCCCGCGGCCUAUCAGCUUGUUGGUGGGGUGAUGGCCUACCAAGGCGACGAAGGGUAGCCGGCCUGAGAGGGUGAACAGCCACACUGGGACUGAGAUACGGCCCAGACUCGUACGGGAGGCAGCAGUGGGGAAUAUUGCACAAUGGGCGCAAGCCUGAUGCAGCGACGCCGCGUGAGGGAUGACGGCCUUCGGGUUGUAAACCUCUUUCAGCACCGACGAAGCGCAAGUGACGGUAGGUGCAGAAGAAGGACCGGCCAACUACGUGCCAGCAGCCGCAGUAA
rnacentral:rRNA from 1 species